rnacentral:tRNA from 1 species
GGGCCCGUAGUCUAGUCUGGUUAGGACACCAUUGUGCCUAAGAUCGCCCUCACACGGCGAAGGUCUCCGGUUCGAGUCCGGACGGGCCCACCA